rnacentral:rRNA from 1 species
GACGUAGGGGGCAAGCGUUGUCCGGAUUUAUUGGGCGUAAAGAGCGUGUAGGCGGUUUGGUAGGUCCGCUGUGAAAACUCGAGGCUCAACCUCGAGACGCCGGUGGAAACCAUCAGACUAGAGUCCGGAAGAGGAGAGUGGAAUUCCUGGUGUAGCGGUGAAAUGCGCAGAUAUCAGGAGGAACACCAAUGGCGAAGGCAGCUCGCUGGGACGGUACUGACACUGAGACGCGAAAGCGUGGGGAGCAAACAGG